UACGGGGGGGGCAAGCGUUGUUCGGAAUUACUGGGCGUAAAGGGCUCGUAGGCGGCCAACUAAGUCAAACGUGAAAUCCCUCGGCUUAACCGGGGAACUGCGUCUGAUACUGGAUGGCUUGAGUUUGGGAGAGGGAUGUAGAAUUCCAGGUGUAGCGGUGAAAUGCGUAGAUAUCUGGAGGAAUACCGGUGGCGAAGGCGGCAUCCUGGACCAUUACUGACGCUGAGGCGCGAAAGCUAGGGGAGCAAACGGG
rnacentral:rRNA from 1 species